rnacentral:misc_RNA from 1 species
UCUUGCGCGCUUGUUUUCCCAGGCGCCCUUCCUCUCUCCCCCGCUUUCCAUCUAUAUGGUGUUUUGUUCUUUGUACGUGUAGUGUAACGUAGCUUGAAAAGAAAAAGAAACCAAGAGUAAUAAGGACAGCAAGAGUGGACACGCGCAAGUGAUGAUGGGAUAGUUUGUCAUCUUCCGUUGGCCUGUGUGCGGUUGGUCAUGUGAGAUGGCCGUAUUCUUAUCCGCUCUCUCCCUCUCUCCACGGCCCACUCUCUACUCUCCUUUCCUCCAACAAAGUCAUCUCAUACGAAGAAGAGAUGAGGGGAAGGUAGUGAGGGUGCGUAGUGGUGUGGCGGAGUAGUUGAGUAACUGGCACUGCGGGCGGGGCAGGGAGGACAAGCUCCCCAUGCCUACACACGCACGCAGACUCAGACGCCGAGCAGAGCCGUUCCAAUGCCCCCGUGCGUGUGUGCGCUAAGUUGAAAAAGCAUAAUAAAACGAGUGAUCGGAACGGGGACGAUAUGACAACGAGCAGCGUCGCACACGCGCGAAGACCAGAAAGCAGAGGUCCGCUGGCGUUACAGAGUAGUGGUGAUGGCGAAAACACCAUGAGCUGAUAACGUCUCCCACUCAAGAUGAGAUGAGGAGCGGGAGGACAGGAAAGAGGAAGCCUGAAAAAAAGCGAAACACAGAAUGAGGUGGCGCAUGGCGAGGGAAGAAAGAUGCGAAGCGUUGUGAAAGCCAAGGAGGAGGCGAGCAAUCAAGCGUUCCCGAUACAGAAGCGAGGAGGAGGAAAGCAGCCGGUGGGAGAGAGGGGGGGGGGGAAGCUGAGCGGAGCUCACAGGGAAGAAAGCGGAGGUAUGGAUGGCGAGAAGGGCUCCCCAGUCCUUGCUUCCUACCGCCGCCGUCUUCCUCCAUCACCGCUACCUCCGUGCUCUAUCCCUCUCUGCAUUUUCUACUUUGCUCAAUGUUUUCCUCUUUCACGUAACCCGCACCCCCAACCCUGUCUUAGCCACGAUUCCCGUCCUCUCUUUUUAAAGUUUCUUCUCAGUCUUUGUUUUUUUUUUCUGUCCCUCUUGCUUCUCCGUUCUAUAUAAAGGCGAAAAAAACGAGGAGGUCUACGCACGGCCAUAGACGGGCCCCUCCACCACUCCCCCUAUCGGUACCUCCACCGGGCCACUGCGUACGGCAAACAAUUCGUAGGAAUCAGAAAAGAAAACGCUCUUCCAUGAAAGCAAGCAGAAGCAGCACGGCGUCCGAGUCCGCACUACCGAGACGGGUUCCGGUGUGCACAUGCGAAUCUGUAUUUGCGUGCACGUGUAAACCAGAACCCUUUGUUCUGCGUAUGCGUCUCUCUCGUUUUCGCGCUUGUGAACGGGUCAGGGGGAAGAGGCGCGUACGAAAAGGGCAGAGCUGCAGCCUGCGCGUCUGUUGUGUGCACUCACGCCACCGCUGCUGUGACGGAACAGGGGGCGAGUGUGGCUCGUUGCUUCCUUCCCUUCUGCCCCCUUGCAAAAAGCAAAGUGGAGGCGAGCGAGACAAGGUAUCGUUUGUCUCUCCCUCAGCAGCUCGCAGGGGGAGGGAGAGAGGGGGCCAGAAAUGUUUGCAGCGGUCGUCCGCACGCGCCGCUGUUGCCUCUCCCACCGCAGCGCUGUUCCAUAUUUUUCGAGGUUUCGUCAUUCCUCUUUUACCGUUCCCUCGACUGCCUCUCUCGCUCUCCCUCUCUCCCACACCUGCACUUGCUUGCGCACAUGUGUCUGCAUGCUGCUACACCGGCGUUAACCGUGUCCUGCACAUUUUCUUUUUUUUUUUCGCAUCCCUUCCUUCGGAUUGUCGUCUACGUGUCUCCUUCCUCGUGCCUCGCCGCUCUGUGCGACUCCGCAG